rnacentral:lncRNA from 1 species
UAUGUCAGAGCACAACGGGAAGUGCUUUUUAAGGCUGAGAUUCUGUUCCCAGGUCCUGAUCAGCUCUUCCCAGCCUCAGAGAAGCCAUGGGAGCCUGCCGCAUCCAGUAUGUCCUGCUCCUCUCUCUACUGGGCUUCUGCCCCUGCUCAGAUACUCUGACCUGCCAGAUGGGAUCCAUGGUGCGUUUGGGCAGUGACCUCACUAGGAAUGAAGUUGAAUGGAUAGAACUGAAGACUGUGGAAACUAGCGGUGAAGAGAUAUGUCAGGAGAUAUUUCUGCUCAUAGAUGUAGGUACAACAGCUCUCAUAUUGGGGAGCAAAGGUCCCAGCAUACCGAGUCAUAGAAAUGUCAGAAACAUCACGGUGUUUGCCCGUGGACCUGGAUUAAAGGCUAUCAUUUUUUACCACAUAUGUGACAUUGAACUGUGCAACAGAGCUAACAGCACCAGAAUGCUAAUUGACUCCAUCCCUUCUGUAGCCCCUACUGUGCGAGGAAGGCAGCCUUGUCCUAUCUGCUUGCAUUUUAAGGGUAUUUGCAACUCCUACACCAACCUUGCCAUCUGUCCUAGAGGCACUCGAUGUUAUAAGAGUGACCUGGCACUCCAUGGAGGUAAGGGAUGAGGCUGCCUUCCCGGAUGGAGGAGACUGUGGCCAUGACUCCAGCGCCUCAGGAGGAGGGAUGAAGUCUCCUGGCUCUGAGGGAGGUGUGCAGAGGCCUGGACUGCUGUUGCAGAGGGAGUGUGGCUGGAGAGUAUAACCCUGGGUGUGAGGAGGGAGGAGUCCUGCGCCUGGACCAAGACUCCUGGGUCACUGGGGAGGGCUGGAGCCUGGACUCUUGGGUAUGAAUUUUUUAAAAGCUUUCCUGAACUAUGCCUCCUGUCCCUUGCCCCUGACUUGAUCUUUAUCUUCUAGGUGGCAUCAGUGCAAUCUUUAGCAUUUCUGGAUGUCUGGUCUAUCCUCAAAAAUUCUUAAUGAAAAAUCAAAGUUCAGUCGGGACGAUCUCCCUAUUAGAAACCCUUUUGAUGCCAAAGAGCAAGUCACCCUCACACGAACUUGUCCCGAGCAUCUUACUGACCUGCAUGUUUGGGCUCUUAGCCCUUUGUUUACAGAGAUCUGUCCUCUCUGCUGAACCCAUUUCCUGACCAUUCUUAAUCCCUCUUGGCCACCCAGACCCAGCCCUCCUCUGACUUCAAAGACCUGAGGCUGGACGCUGUCGGCCUGCGCUGUCGGGCGCCAUCAUCCCUCACCCACACACCUCUGCCCCUCAUGCUUAGACUUGGGAGCCACUGAGCCCAGCCGGCUCCAGAGCAGACAAGCACACGUUGACCACGUGUGGAAAAAUAAAGUUGCUGUUGUUUG